UACGAGGGGUGCAAGCGUUGCUCGGAAUUAUUGGGCGUAAAGGGUAGGUAGGUGGUCUUGUUUGUCAGGGGUGAAAUCCUUGGGCUUAACCCAAGAAGUGCCCCUGAAACGGCAGGACUGGAGUCCUGGAGAGGGUCGUGGAAUUCCCGGUGUAGCGGUGAAAUGCGUAGAGAUCGGGAGGAACACCAGCGGCGAAGGCGGCGACCUGGACAGGUACUGACACUCAACUACGAAAGCGUGGGUAGCAAACAGGAUUAGAUACCCUGGUAGUCCACGCUGUAAACGAUGAGCAUUAGGCUUGGUGGGUCUUGACCCCCGCUGAGCCGUAGCUAACGCGAUAAAUGCUCCGCCUGGGAAGUACGGUCGCAAGACUAAA
rnacentral:rRNA from 1 species